AUAUUAAGUAACCUUUAAUUUGUAGAAUAUUACAAAGAAUGCUAUUGGUAAUUUUUAAAUCAAAGAGUAAAUUAAAAAAAUUGGAUAAGGUUAAAGUGGACAAAUUGAUCGGAUACAUAACGUGGAUCUUGGGUUUGUUUUCGGAUAAAACGCGGACCCUAUCCAGCGUUAUACGGUCUGGGACGCGGAUCCUCGAUUUGACCCGUUUGGGUAACAAAUCAUUAAGAUUUUACUCCGAUAAUAUUCUCUUGUGCUGUUACACAAAAUAAUUUCGAAAAUCAUUAAGACAGUUGCCAAAACAAUCAACAGAAAAUCAACGCAAAAUAAUUGCCAAAUUAAAUCACCAAAUAUAAGGAACAUAACCAAUUUUGUAGGAACUGUUUUCAAUAAGAUCUAAUCUCAUUUAUUAUAUUUGCCUAAUUUCAAAAGUAUAAAAUAUUAUAUUCCUAUCAAAUGAAGCAUCUACAUAUACAUUUUUACAGGGGAUUUUUGCAAAAAGUCUUUUGGAUCCGGGUUUUACCCGGGUUUAACUCUAUUCGGAUCUAGAAUAAGAAAUUUAAGGAAGUUUGUAAUAAAAACGACAUUAAUUAUUAAUUAACACCUAAAUUAGAAAUAUAUAUAAUAUAUCUAAACUAACCAUAUUUGUUAUUUACCUUAACUACUUCUAACCAUAAUUAUUUAACUAUUUAUUUCUAUAUGGAAAGAAUAUGUGAUUAAAAUAAAUAUUUUGUAAAAGAUUGAUUUGGGGAAAAAUUGUUAUUACGAAAAUAAUUUGUUUUGUUAUAAAAAUUAAUAUUUGUUAUUUGUAAUUAAAUUACAUAAAUAGUAAUAAUAAUUUGUCUACACCAUCAAAUGAAAAUAGUUAGUUAUUUAUUUUUUUAUUUAAUAUUACGUCAUUUUUAAAAAAUAAAUUCAACAAUAUAAUGUCAAUGAGUUUAAUUCUAAAGAUUUGAAAAUAUUAAAAAGAUACUAACCAAACAUUAUCUAUCCUAAUUUGUUUCUAACAAUUUCGACACAAAUCUUUCGAAAAUUUAAUGUGAUCACAGUUUGUUACUAAAAUCUCGAUUAUAUGCCUAAAAUCUCGAGAAGAUCUUCCUUUAAAUCCGCAAAUUAUAAUUUUUGAAUUAAAUAAACUAACAAUACGAAUAUUCCUAAUAUAUUCGAGUACUAAUAAUCCUUAUUAUAGUAUAUUCCUUAUCUAAAUACUAAAUCUUUUAUUUUUAAUUCUAAUCAAAAUUUAUGAAAUCGGAAAUCAAUUAUGAUUUCUUAAACAUCCUUAAAUUUCGAAAUAAUCAACAAUUCGAAUAUGCUGAAAAAUCAUAACGAAAUAUCUUUAUUUACUUAAAUGUUUUAGUAAUCGUUAUAGCAAAAAAAUCAAUUCCAGCGCUAUUGGUUCUUUAAACUUUUUGAUUUACAUAGAUAUUUUGUAUUCCAUAAUUAACUCAUUAAAUUCUUUGAUUUAAAUAACUACAAUGUGAAAAUUAGUAUAUGUAAUAAAUAUAACAUAUAAUAUUUACGAGAUUUUCAUAUACUUGAUCCCCAACCCAAAUUGACGAAUAUAUUAUUUCUCAUAAAAUAUCUUUAAAAGAUUUUUUUUUGUUUCGUUUAGAUAUUAUUCAACAAACUUCCUAAAACAAAUGGAAAUAUCUUUAAUUAGCUUUCCUCAUUCAUAAAUCCCACCAUGCAUAUAGACGUUAUUCAGUUGAUAAUACAAAAUUGAAUAUAUUAGGAAUCAAAUAUUUAAUUUUCCAAUAUUUGCAAAAUUGUUUUAAUUUUUAGAUCAAACCUAAACUUCUCGAGUACUUUUUAUUCAUCUAUAUAAAAAAGAUAUUUUCAACCAUUGAUCCACAAUACUAAACGUUUUCGUAAUAGAGAUUUAUAUGGCUUCUUUUAAACAAUGUUCUUAGUACAUUUUAUAUUUCACGUUUGUUUUCUUUUAAAAAAUUAAUUGUCACCUACUUUUCUUAUGUUGCAGCUUUCGAUUUUAAGAUCUUUGGAAAUUAUGGACAUCAUCAACUCCGUCUCCAAAGAAACUAUCAAAUAAGGUAUGCAUUAAAAGGUUAGUUAGUCCUUCUUCUUAUCUUCAGAUACGAAUUUUUUUUAAUGUCCAGUAUUUUUUUACAUUUUCAUAAUUUCAUGUUUCUUCAUAAUGUUUGUAAAUGAUUUUUUUUUAUAGGCUAACAUAACAAGUCCAUUCUAUUAAAAUCUUUUUCUUUAACGUAAAAAGGAAAUGAAUUUGUUAAUAAAAUAAAGUUCUUAUUCUUAAUUUUCAUUAUUCUAAUGUUAUGUAUUUUAAUUGUUUUUAUGAUAUAUACUUUUACUAAAACCUGUGGAUCCGAGUUUUGGUUGGUAAGUGUAAUUUUUCUAAUCUUUUAAAACCUUUUACAACAAUUACAUGUUUUAUAUGGUUAACAAUCACAUCAUAUAUAUUUUAUUUUCUUAUCCAAUGUAUUUCAUGUUUAAUGUUUUCUAAUAUUUUUUAUUGAAACUUUUAAAUAGUUUCAAAAUAUUAUAAACAUUUAAACUUUAUUAAAAGUAAAAUAUUAUAAUUAUUUAAACAUUUAAAAAAGUUUAUUUUUAUAAAACGUUUUAAAUAUUUAUAAUAUUAUGAAUUUUAUAAAGUUUCAAAUAUUAAAUAGUUGAAUUUUAUAAUAAUUUAUAAGAAAUUUAAACAUUAUAAAUAUUUACAAAAGAUAAUAAUCGGGACGGUAUAUUACGGGUGAAAUCCUAGAUAUAACAAUCAAAAUACUAUUAUGAAUUUUGGGUCGAUAUUAAAUGAAGUUUCGAAUAUUAGAAAUAUUUGAAUUUUAUUGGAAAAUGACAAAAUGAUGUAGAUUUCACGGGACAGAGUUAUAUGGUCGGACGGAUUUGGGGUGGAUAUUAAUACAGUAUGAUAUACUACAGGUGAAAUCCUAUAAUUAACAAUCAAAAUAUAACAAUACAAUCUUAAACACUAAACAAAACUAAACAAAUAAUAUUAACAAAACAAAUAAAACUUCAAAUUUUAAAUCUUUAGUUAUAAAAUAUCGUGUGUACCAUACAUUUAAAUCAAACAAAACAAUAGCAUAUAUCUAUAGAUCAUCUUAAAAAAAAAUUAAUUUUAUUAUUAUUUAAUAAAAUUAUAGACCCGCGGUGUACCGCGGGUUAAUAUCUAGUAUUCUAUUAAUGAUUCUAUUAAAUACGGUUACGCAAAUAUAUUUUCAUAUUUACAAAAGUAAACCCUAAAAAUGAGAGUUGUAUCUGUAAUAGUAUAUAUAGUAAACUCGAUAAUCAACUUUCAUAACACAAUCCUUCAAAUCUUAACUUCAUUAAUUUCUUCUUUUUUUUGGUCAAAAAAAUGGCUGCAAAUCUUCCUAUCACGGAACUUGCUAACGUGAAACCUUUUCAAAACAAUCGUUCACUCAUAGACUCAACACACUCAAUUCACACGAGAGACAAUGAAAAUGAUUCUUGCUACUGUUUCUGUAAGUAUUUUUAACUUUCUAACUUCAAACCUUUCAUAUUUAAAAAGGAUUAUUGUUUUGCUUACUACAAUUGUGAAUUUUGUAGGCUACUUUGAUUCAUGCUACUAUAAAUAAACAACAGAUGAACAAGCUGCAAAGGUUUAUCAACUCUGGAGAGUGGAGAUUUAUUAAAAAUUUACUCUCUCAAAAUCUAUGGGAAAGUACAGAGCUACCAAACAUGGUUGCAAAAUGUCCCUCAUGAACACUACUAUUAUCACUCGGUGUUCUUCUCUUUCAGAUGAUGUUUUCUUCGAUUUGCAAACUAUCAAGAUAUUUUGAAUGAAUCACGAUUGAAUGCGAAUAUCUUUAUAGGUUUUUUUAUGUUUAGUUAUAGCUUUAUCUUGCAUAUAAUUUUUUUUCCUUAUAUCUUUAUCUUGCAGGAUCUUCAUCGUUGUUAUGAUAUACUACUUUUGAUUAAACAUACAAAGACUAAUAUGAAUAAACAACAGUAUAAAAGUCACAUGAGGCACUAACCUUUUACAUAUAUAUUUCUGGAUAUCUCCAAUGAGGCAAUGACUAUAUAACUCUUCCCUUCUCCAUAUUUUUAUGUUAAUAGAAUCGAAUGCUUCACAUUAGAACAUUGAAUAUUGUUAUUAACAUGUUAAACUUUUUAAAGUAACUCAAUAACAGUAAGUAAAGCUGCAAAUCUGAGAAACAAAAGCGUAAGAAUUGAGAUUUCACCAACCUUUUACAUAUAUAUUUUCUUAUAGCUACACUGACAAAAUCAUAGAGCUUCUCCCAUAGUCUCAUUGUCUGUAUCGCAAAUCAUCCUUCACAUUAAAUCGUUAAUACACAGGCAAGGAUGAUUUUGUUUUAAAAUACAAGAUCAAAACAAUGUGCCAUAUAUAAAGUAACGUAUCUUAAGCUCAAUAAAACCAGGGAACUCUGCAAACAUAAUCAACAAAAUUUUAAAAAUUAAGAAUCUUACUAACCUUUGACACAUAUAUUUAUGAAUAGCUAUAAUGACAAUAUCCCAUUGUCUCCUCCAUUGUCUGAAAUUACUUGCUAAUCAUCCUUCACUAGAAUACACAACCAAAAAAAAUUAAAAAUUCAAAACACAGUAUACACAAAAUAUACUCAAUUUAUUGCUUUCAAACUAUAAAAAGCUACGGAUACUCGAGAUUAACUGUAUACAGAGCUACUCUAUACAACAAUUCAAAACCACUGUAAAUCAAAUUCGUAUACAAACCUUAAAAAAAAUCUAUCAAAAACUAAUUUUAAAUCAGCCUUAAGAGAUCCGGCUUCUUGUAAAUCCUUGGCGAUUCUAUACUAUUAAAACAAAAAAUUUCAAAGAUUGGAAAUUGAAUCUGACAUAUACAAAAGCUGUACAAGUAUAAAUUUGAUUUAAUAAAUAGAUUACCUCUUCGUAGAAUUCACGAAUUGAAACCCACCAGAGGUAUAAUAGGAGACGAUGAUGUUCCUAUGAGAUUAUCGUAUUUGAUUCUGGAGAUCGAUCGAUGGUCUUCGUUAUUUUCACUAAAAUUCCUUUUCUCUUUUUUUGGUAAUAAGACAACAAAUUGUUCACAGCAAAUAUCUGUCCAAAUAC
rnacentral:lncRNA from 1 species